UUGGGUCCCCCAGUUCUCAGGCCCUCAGUCUUGGACUGAAUCGUAGCACCAGCUCUCCUGUGUCUCCAGCUUGCAGACGGCAGAUUGCAGGACUUCUCGGCCUCCAUAACCGAACAGAAUAGGUGGAAACGGGCAGAAUUUGGAGCCAAAGCACGUGGUGGAAGCUGCCUCAGGACUUCUGUGACCUCAGGUCCUCAGCACUUAUAAAGUUACAGGUGGGUGAUUUUGUAGACGGUUCUUCCACUUGGCUUCACCUGACGUUUCCUCAGGCCGUGCCUCGUUGUCAAGUCCACCGCAGAAGUGAUGGCAGGAGUGUGUCCUGUUGGGUGGCGCCUGAUCUCCGUAUGUCCUGUUAAGCUGGUGUCUGUUAGCUUCCCCACUGUUGGGUUUCUCCUUUCUUCUUUGUAAUUAAUAACUAUUUUGUGUGUAGAUGGACUCCGAAGUUAUGUAAAUAUCCCAUUCUUCAUCAUACUUUGAAUUUAUUCAUUCAGGAAUUUAAGUCCGUAGGGACCCAAGGCUUCCUAUUUCAUUCCAUGAGUUAUAAUCCAUUACUUUCAUUAUUUAUAUCAAUGCUCAAAUAGCCCCCGAUUUGGCCAGCAGAACCCUUCAGGCUGGCUUCCGGGUCCUUUCACGUGUGCGCAUCAUUGCUUGAGCAUUUCCUCACUUUCCCACCCCAAAGCGGGCCCCAAGUUCCUGUCGCACUUUCCAAUGCUGGAAUCAGCCAUUUCUCCCCGGAGAAAACUGCCUUUCUACUAGUGACAUCUACAUUCAUUCCUACGUCGAUCAUUCCUACGUCGACAUAUUGCAAACCAUAAGUUCACAGCGACACUUGCAACUCCGAUGAAUAACGCCGAGAUUACGCUCAUCUUCUCCUUUCCGUAUUUGUAACGUGCUCUAAUAUCGGUAAACCUGGCUCCCGUUACCCUCAAUAUCUUUGCUUAUUUGACCCAUCUGUCUCUUGUCCCUGCUGCUGUCCCCGACGUGGACGGGGAUGCCUCCUCACCCCGCAGGAGCUCCAACCUCCAAGGAGGAAGGAGGGAAAAAAGGAGGGAGAGGGAGGGAAUCUUCCCACCUUUCAGAGCAUCACAGUGUUGCCUUUUUAGAGUGUAUAAAGUCGAUGCAUGUGCGUGUUUGUGUGCUAAAAUUCUUACGGAGGAUGUAAAAUAUAAGUGAGAUGAAAGAAAAUGAUGUACGUUCAGGAAUAAAAGCGUUCUAGCAACUAACGCUCAAAUAAUUAUACCCCAAUUAUCCGCUGUGCGAAUCCCUGUAGAGGACUGGCAAGGGCCUCAGCCAAGGAUUAAAUGAACACAGAAGGCUGCCGCAGACGUCUCCCCGCCAGGCAGA
rnacentral:lncRNA from 1 species